UCAGGAAGAAACUUCUCUUAUGGGCAGAUAACUUCUUCAGAUAAAGAAUAUUUCUUCUCCCAACCCACCCUGCCUCAUACCUACAGUACCCCGCAGCAACAAGAGAGCUCAGUGACAUGAAAAGAAUGGAACAUGACAACAGCGGCAGAACGCGACAGCGGAGACCACCUCUGAAGAAAUGC